rnacentral:rRNA from 1 species
AGAGUUUGUCACCUUGCUAAAAACAUAUUGGAAGUUGAAGUAGUAGUAAAAAUAAUUUUUGUGAAAUCAUAGUAAAUUUUAAUAAAAUGAUUGAGUUGGCUAUAGAGUAGGAGUACUGUAGAGGAAAGGGUUAAAGGAGGUUGAAUGAAAAUGAAAGUAGUAAUUUUAAAUAGGUGUACCUUGUGUAUUAGGGGCAAUCAAUAUAAGCUAGAAAAGUUGUAGGUAUCUCGAAAUAAAAAUAGUUAAUUUUAUAUAAAUUUUUAUUGUAGAAUAAAUAUGCUUAAUAUAAAAUUAGAAGUGAAAUGCUAUUCGAGUUUUAUUAUAUCUAGUUUCUUUGUAAAUAAAUUUAAUUUACCCUUUAUGAUCUUUAUUCGUAAAGUAAAAGUGCAGGAGGGAGUAGCUUCUUGUAUAAAGUAUGUAAAUAGUAAGGAAUUAAUAUAAAGAAUUUGAAUUAGGCUUAAAAAUAGCUAAAUUAAUAAAGUGUUCUAAUUAAAUAUAACAGAAGGGUAAUAUUUUAAUUCCACUCUUGAAUUAGUACAGAGAAAUAACUUCAAAAUUAAAUAGAAUUGGUUAAAAUGAUUUUAUUAGUAAAAUUAUAUUGUUUUGGUUAGGAAAAUUGUAAUGAUUUAUAAGUAAUAUAUGUUAAUAAGGGAAGUACAAAGGAACUCGGCAAAUCUUUUUUCUGCCUGUUUAUCAAAAACAUGUCUGUCUGGAGCUAUAGAAAGUCCGACCUGCCCACUGAUGAAAUUUAAAGGGCCGCGGUAUACUGACCGUGCAAAGGUAGCAUAAUCGUUAGGUUUUUAAUUGAGAUCUUGUAUGAAUGGUUUGACAAGAAAAAAGCUGUCUCUGUACUUGAUAAUUGAAUUUAACUUUUAAGUGAAAAGGCUUAAAUAAUUUAGGGGGACGAUAAGACCCUAUAAAACUUUAUAUAAAAUUCUCUUUGUGGUUUAAUUUUUAAUUUAUAAAAAUCAUGUGGUAGUUUAUAUUGUGUUGGGGCGACAAAGAUAAAAUUUAAAUUAACUGUCUAAUAGUAAAGACAAAAAUUUAUGAGUAAUUGGUUAGAUGAUCCUAUAUAAAGAUUAAAAGUUUAAGUUACUUUAGGGAUAACAGCGUUAUUUUUUUUGAGAGUUCUUAUCGAAAAAAGAGUUUGCGACCUCGAAUGUUGAAUUAAAAUUUCUA